CUGACCCAUUCCCGUUCCAGGUGGCUGUUCGCAUUCCCAACUGACCCAUUCCCAUUCCAGGCAGCCAUGGGCUAUUCCCAUUCCCAUUCCUGUUCCCAUUCUCGUUCCAGGUGCCCAUGGGCUAUUCCCAUUCCUGUUUCCAUUCCCAUUCCAGGUGCCCAUGGGCUAUUCCCAUUCCCAUUCCUGUUUCCAUUCCCAUUCCAGGCAGCCAUGGGCUAUUCCCGUUCCUGUUCCUGACCCAUUCCCAUUCCUGUUUCCAUUCCCGUUCCAGGUGGACAUGGCCUAUUCCCAUUCCCAUUCCUGUUCCCGUUCCAGGUGCCCAUGGGCUAUUCCCACUCCCAGCUGACCCAUUCCCAUUCCAGGUGCCCAUGGGCUAUUCCCAUUCCUGUUCCCUUUCCCAUUCCAGGUGGCCAUGAGCUAUUCCCACUCCCAGCUGUCCCAUUCCCUUUCCCAUUCCAUGCAGCCAUGGGCUAUUCCCAUUCCCAGCUGACCCAUUCCCUUUCCCAUUCCAGGUGGCCAUGGGCUAUUCCCACUCUCUGGUGAUCGCCCGGGACGAGUCGGAGGCGGAGCAGGAGAAGCUGCGGAAGCUGCCGGAGUACAACCCCCGCACCCUCUGAGGGGCCCCGAUCCCGAUCCCGCUUCUCCAUCCCGGCCGCCGUGCUCCCUCCCCGCUCCCGCACUCCCGGCCCUCGGCGGGGUCACUCCCACCCCCAUUCCCGGCUUUUGGAAUUCCCCACCGCAGCCGGGCCUCCCGGCACGUCCCACCCCGGGU
rnacentral:lncRNA from 1 species